rnacentral:rRNA from 1 species
UACGAAGGGGGCUAGCGUUGCUCGGAAUCACUGGGCGUAAAGCGCACGUAGGCGGAUCUUUAAGUCAGGGGCGAAAUCCUGGAGCUCAACUCCAGAACUGCCUUUGAUACUGGGGAUCUCGAGUCCGGAAGAGGUGAGUGGAACUCCGAGUGUAGAGGUGAAAUUCGUAGAUAUUCGGAAGAACACCGGUGGCGAAGGCGGGUCUCUGGGCAGUAACUGACGCUGAGGAGCGAAAGCGUGGGGAGCGAACAGG